GCCUCCACAUUCACCAGCCUCAUCAAUCUUUUCACCUCCGCGCAAGUAAUAUUCUCAGUAGUACUACCACCACCACCACCAUCACCUCCUUCCUUGCUGCUAUUGCUGUGAUCACCAGCAUCAGUAGUGAAAAACUGCGACGACGAUGAUGUUGUUGACAUUAACACUCUCUUGCUCAAUAACACUAGUUCCCUCGCCCUUCCGCUUUGUUGAAUUGGAGCCCAUCCCAUUCCCAACAACAGCGACGGCGGAGGAGCG
rnacentral:misc_RNA from 1 species